rnacentral:lncRNA from 1 species
CAUGGGCCUGCAUGGUAACAAGGUGCUAAAGACAUAAUGCAAGAAAGCCCAUCUCACACCAGUACAGACUCCAGCCUUAUUAAAGCUCUGGACUCGUUUCCAACCGUUCUCUAGGCUGAUUUAAAAAUACAGUGCAUGAGCUAGGACAUUAAAAAUAAAAAGCUUCAUAGCAGGUUCAUUCCUGGGCUGUUUUUGACUUUGAUGUAAGGAAGAUGUGUGGAAAAAUCUACAGCACUGGGUCUUGGCAUCAAUCUUUAAGGAAGGUAUUAUCCCAGAUAUGUGGCUUAUAGCAUCUACUGUAGGGAAGUCCAAGGCUAUAAUUAGGCAUCCCUCAAUGUUGUCAUGUUAGGUAUCUUUGGAUAAUUGGUGCCACCCACCUGGUUAUCCAUAUGCUUUACUGUAGAGUAUGAUUAAUUCUCCCCUUUUUCAAAACAAUAAGCGUUUUAUGCAGUGAGCACACCUUUAUGAGCACAAAAAUUCUUGUGUAACAGGAAAAGAAAGCCCCUAAACCCACCAUUCUUCUGGGUGCAGAUCAGCCCAGUAAAUGGCAUGUAGGUCUUAGUGUCCCUAAGUUGUUCGAGUGACAGGAGGGCCCCCAGAUAAGGCAAGCUGCUCAAAAUCUGCCGUUUGUCCAGAAAAUACAGCCUUUUUUAAUUCCAGUUUUUGCAUCCUGCACUGACGCUUCUUGAAGAGAGCAUCCUCGGAUUGCCGCGCACCCAGCUCAAGGGCUGCACUCACACAACCAGCCCACCUCUCCCCCAAAAAAGCCUGAGAAGUUUGAAUUGUGGAAGUGGUGAAUACGCUACUGGAAUCCUUUAAGUAGCUGAGCACCUGAGCAAUUUGUGAUGUAUUUCAUUAAGCUGUUGAAAGUUGUAUUUGCUUCUCCUCAGCCUCCAUCCCCAGCUGCCCCAGCAUCGCACCAGGCUUAGGAGCAGGGAGAGCAGCUAACCAUUGCAGUUAUUAGUCACUAUUCUCUUCUUCUUCGGAGUCAUUAACAUCAAUUACUAACCACUGCAUUGUCAAUUAAGACUAUCACUUGCUGCUAUUCACUGCUAAUGUGCUAAUUGUCAUCAAUUUACUGCUUCAAUUAUGUGGUCAUACACUCGCCUCGAGGUACGCUGAUUUGAUGUAAGGAUCCUGAGGAGCAACCUGCCUCUCUCCGUGGUUUUAAUGCAAGAGAAGGAAACCGGGUUGAGUCUGAGCACGUUGUGUGCACCUGCAGUAUGGUGAAAAAUCCUUCGGGCAGACAACUGGAAUAGAUCUGCAGAUCUCGUUCAUUCUGUGUACGUUUUGCAU